UAACCUUUGAAGCAAUCUGCCAGGCCCUAUAUGCUCGGCCUUCACCUGAUGACAACAUACGUAAUGAUCCACCAAAUCCGCUAUAUCUCGCCUCAUACCACUCCACCAAUAGUGCUGCCUCAAAUUACGAUACACCUUAGUUACACCUGGAUGGAUAAAAUAUCUGGAAUAAUGGACCUCCUCCAAGAUCAACUUAAUUCGAUCACCAUUCUCAAUACAUAACUCAACCUCCAAUCC
rnacentral:lncRNA from 1 species